ACGCCGGAGCGCUAGGGGGCGCUCCGGGUUAGGAGGCGCUGAGGACGCAGCUCCCCGGCCAAGAAGUCUCCCCACGCGGGAGGCAGGGGCGCGACUCUGACAGCGCUGGGCCCGGAAGACCCCUCGGCCCAGCCCCACAUUUCCAGGGCUCUGCACCUGGACGGACUCGCUUCUCCACCCAAGCCGGAUUCUUUUCAACCCCCCAGCCCCUCUGAUUGCAAACUUGGGAAGCUCCAGCCCGGCCCUUGCUCAUCCCACCCACCAGUGCUGUGCCGGUGCCUGGAGCUUCCGGGCCCAUGUGGGCUGCCGCCCAAAGUGCACAUUCCUCCGGACAAAGCACGGCGCGGGCAAUUCAGAUAUAACGGACGCAAGGUGUCGUCUUCACCACUGAAUGGGUUAUCGCACUCAACCCCUUGAAAAGCGCUCCGAAAGAUCCCCUGCUGUUUACGAUCUGGAUUCUGCGGAGGAGGCCCGAGGUGCUCAGCUUCCCCCCAGAGGUAGUAAGAGCAAUGGAGACUGAAUCCAGAGCCUAAUGAAUGCUAUGCAAGCACCACUCCAUGGAGUUACAACCCUCACUCCCGAUUUUCAUUACGUUGUGUGCUACAGUUUGAAUCUUAACCCUCCCCAGCGGCUCAUGUGUUAAAGGCUUAGUUCCCAGCUUGGAGCUAUUGAAGAUUCCGGAUGAAGUCUUUUGCUGUUCAGAAAGGCACAAGGGGAAGAAUCAGUUUGUGGCUUGAGAUGUGCUGUGUCUUCAGGAAUAUCAUGCGAACUACUGAAAAGAUGAGACCAGCUCUCCAUGGACCCUACUGUGCCACGGCGGACAGGGACCCGAAGCUACAGUGCUAUGAGACACCGCCUUAGGGGAAUGGAAAGUUCUUGGCAGGACACGGUGACCAGAAGCAAGCCAUCAGGAACAUGAGGGGCAGGGUCACAGAAUGGACAGGUGACACCCUGUGCUAGCUCAAAAUGUGUCACAUUUCAGGUCCUGGCAGCCCACUCCGCACAGAACGGGGAAAGCUGCACCCUUCUGAGCUCAGAUGUGCAGUAUCUCCCGGGGCUCCUCUCCACGAGCCAUGUAGAAUAUACUCCAGGCCCAGGUUUUCGGGGACUGAGGAAGCCAGCAAAGUGCUUCCGGGGAGGAGGACAUGACAUAGACAAUAAAAUACUGCCUCUCGGCAGCUCCUCGGAGACUACGAGCCAUGCUCCCAUUCACCAUUUCCCCUCAGCCUGCUGCUUCUCCCCGGGGAAGUGAGUGGUAUUUCUUUCCUGAGGAAAUGGGAGGCCCAGAGACACUUGGCCCCUUUACCAGGGCCUGGUGCUGAUCCUUCUGCCCUUGGGAAGGAUGAUAAACUUCCUUGGGAACAUCUCAGCGUGGCAUCAUGGCUACGAGGCAGGGUCUGAACUGAGAGCUGGGGUUCCAAUCCCAGCUCUGUCACACGGUAGCUGAGUGGCUCCAGUCCGGCUACUCCACCUCAGUUUCCUCCUCAUGUGUCCAAUGGGAAUGACAGUCACCCCACUUGCUAGGCCGUCCUGAGGACUGACUGAAUUAGCACCUGCAGAGGGCUCAUGGGACACUGCUCACAACAGGCGCUUGGUAAAUGUCAGCCAAUAGCACUUCAUCCUGAGCACCAAGAUCAGGGUACAGCUGGGAGAUGUGGGCGAGGGGCUUCCCACCCCUUGGCUGGGUUCAGGUGCGAUCUCCCAAGCCUGUCCUCCAUGGCCGGCCGGCUCAUGCAACUCCCUCAGGAGCCGCCAUGGGCUGGGUGUUUGUGCCUCCACAGUUCCUAGGAUGAAAUCCUAAACCCCAGGACGGCAGCACUGGGAGGUGAUCCGAGUGGGCAGAGCUCUUUUGGAAGAGGCUGCUGUCUGUAUAACGAGACCCUGUGGGCUCUGCUCUGCCUCCUGCCCCGUGACGACUCAGCCACCCAGCAAGGAGAAAGUCGGCCCUCCCAGACCGCAAAUGGGCCAGUGGCCUUGGACUUGCACUUCCAGCCCCCAGAACGGUGAGGGACAAAUGUUCGUUGCUUAAGCACCCAGACAGGGGUACGUGUAUUUUUCAUAGAGGCCUGAGGAUCGUUCUGAGCCCCAGGACCCCCUGGGGAAGACCUACCCGAGUC